GUGAGGAAUAUUGGACAAUGGGCGCAAGCCUGAUCCAGCCAUGCCGCGUGCAGGAAGACGCAUCUAUGGUGUGUAAACUGCUUUUGUACGGGAAGAAACACUCCCUCGUGAGGGAGCUUGACGGUACCGUAAGAAUAAGGAUCGGCUAACUCCGUGCCAGCAGCCGCGGUAAUACGGAGGAUCCAAGCGUUAUCCGGAAUCAUUGGGUUUAAAGGGUCCGUAGGCGGUUUAAUAAGUCAGUGGUGAAAGCCCAUCGCUCAACGAUGGAACGGCCAUUGAUACUGUUAGACUUGAAUUACAAGGAAGUAACUAGAAUAUGUAGUGUAGCGGUGAAAUGCUUAGAUAUUACAUGGAAUACCAAUUGCGAAGGCAGGUUACUACUUGUGGAUUGACGCUGAUGGACGAAAGCGUGGGGAGCGAACAGGAUUAGAAACCCGGUAGUCC
rnacentral:rRNA from 1 species